CACCUGCCUAUGGACCAUUGCAGAUAGAUAGAGCUGAAUCUGUCAACUUGCAGUUCGGUAACUUUGGGAUCAGUGCUUGGCCCAGUGAUACUGGGGGUACUAGUCAUGCCAGUAGUGUGGAUGAGUCAAAGGGUUACCAGACUGACAAUGGUAGUAAAUAUUAUUCGUCCUGCUGCAGUUCACCAAGGUUCUCAGAAGGGCAUGCAAAGGAGGUGGGUUUUAAUCAAUGAUUUGUCUUUAUAGUGGAGAAGUUAGAAAAUCCGUUUUCUUGUUUAUUAUAUCUUAAGCAACAGAUGGAAUUAUAAUGAUUGGAUACCAGCCCGGGUUAAAUGGAAGUUUCAAUCAACUUCUAAAAUCACGUCAUAUUGCAGCUCUGAUCAGUCUUUUUGUAUUAAUUUAUUUUAUCUGCGUUUUUUCUAAAUUUUUCUCCUUUUAACUUUUUGGUCUCCCUGUUUUUUGCAGCUCAAGGAAGAAAACUCAGUGCAUGGUAGUGAUGAAGAUGUUGAUGAACCGCCUGAGAUAGACAGUGAUGAGGAUCUUAGUGAUGGGCGAAAACAGAACCAAGAAGAGGUAAGGAUUUGUCAUCAGUUUAUUCAAAAAAUUCACAAAACGUAGCAUUCAUGAUUUUUUUUCCAUCUUGAACGAAGUGGAGUAAAUUCUUCUCUUGGUAUGAGAAUGUUUUGAUUAGCAGAUACAUAUGAGAUUCUAUGAAGUACCUUUUAGUUUGAAUGUCGUAGCUCCCAGGUAAAUGGCGAUGCAAAACUUGCAAGUUGCUUCUGCCCAUGGCUGAUAUGUUGGGAAUUCUCUGUUAACGUCAUUAAUGGGGAUAAGUACCAACAAAAUCUUGACCUUUUCAUGAGAACCAAAAGUGAACCAUUAUCGGAUGCAUUGUCUGGUGCUUUUCCAUAUCACCGCAGAUUGAAAACCGAGAGCAGAAUGCCACAUCAUGGCAAUACCAGGUUGAGAAAACGUUCUCAUAGCAUUCCAGCCCUGGGGAAGCAUGGGUCACUAAUAAAUGUUCCGAUGGUUAAAGAAGCGGUUCCUAGUGAUCAAGCAGUUUUUUGAGUUUCUCGUCUUUCCCUUCAUGUUCUUUUUGUAGCUUUGCAGCAAUCACCUUGUGGUGUAUAGAAUUACUUGGAUAGAUGAGUUUCUGGAUAUGGAUGGCCCCUGAGUUUUGUUGUGUCCAUAAAUUUCGAUUUUUAUUCCUAGCUAGGUAUUACAAUUAAUUGGGCCAAUCAGUCAGUCCCCAGGCAGGGUUGUACUCUUAUGUGGACCGGAUCUGAUUAAUUCGGUUUUCAGUACGCGAGAAUGGUAAUCAUAAGGAGAAUUACCUAGUUGAAAGUUGAAAGUUGAAAUGAUUCCCAGCCACAUACAUUGGACCAGUAUGGUAACAUAUUUA
rnacentral:lncRNA from 1 species